GACGAACGCUGGCGGCGUGCUUAACACAUGCAAGUCGAACGGAAAGGCCCUGCUUUUGUGGGGUGCUCGAGUGGCGAACGGGUGAGUAACACGUGAGUAACCUGCCCUUGACUUUGGGAUAACUUCAGGAAACUGGGGCUAAUACCGGAUAGGAGCUCCUGCUGCAUGGUGGGGGUUGGAAAGUUUCGGCGGUUGGGGAUGUACUCGCGGCUUAUCAGCUUGUUGGUGGGGUAGUGGCUUACCAAGGCUUUGACGGGUAGCCGGCCUGAGAGGGUGACCGGCCACAUUGGGCCUGGGAUACGGCCAGGACUCCUUCGGGCGGCAGCGGUGGAGACUAUAGCACAAUGGGCGGAGCCUGUUGCGGAAACGCCGCGUGCGGGAUGACGGCCUUCGGGUUGUAAACAGCUUUCGACUGUGACGAAGCGUGAGUGACGGUAAUGGGUAAAGAAGCACCGGCUAACUACGUG
rnacentral:rRNA from 1 species